ACACACUCUUUCACUGCUUGAGGACGCAAAGAUGCAGAGCCAGCAUGACUAAGCAUAGGCAACAGCACAAAUGUUAUAGCUGAAAGUAGAUCAACUAGUCAGGUUUGUUUUUCUGUUACUGAACUGGGGCUAUGGGUUUUGGAGAGUAAUACCACAGAAGUACCUUUCCUAUCUCUGGGAAACAUGCAAUCAGCAUGACUCAUUACUGAUAUGUUAAUCUUGAUCACUUGGCAUAAAGGAAAAUACCUCUUUUAUCUGCACGUUUUCUUCCUGUCUUGAAUGUAUUUGUGUGAGAAUACGAUGCCUGGAGUGGCAGCAACUAUCUUGAGAUUGUGAGGAAAUAAACUAAGAGAUGAAUAGCCAAUUUCCCAAGGAUGGCACUGCGGAACAUUAGAAAGAGCUUUUUUAAUGAUAACACUGAAUCAUGGGUCCACUAUAAAGUUAUUUUCCCCUCUUUUCCAUACUGGACUUUCUUGGAAGCAAGUCAACAAGCAAGGUGGGGGUGGGGGCAGAAACUGAGCUUAUCUCCUGUAAGGAAGAGUAUUUACAUAAACGAUUUUAAUUUUCCUGUAUGGGUGAUCCUGGCCAGCUUUAUCAACCCAGCUGGCAAGGUGAAGGGCGGCUGGGCUGCCUAGCAACGGUGAGGCGUUGCCUCGAGGAAGGGCAGCGUCGAAGCGAAGUUGGCCAAGGAAAGGUGGCCCCAGCUUGCAAGGCCCCAGGGCGAGGAAGAAGUUGGCCUAAUAAGGCGCAGGGUGGCUCUGUCCUGGGACGCUCGUACUUAGCGAUUCCACCCCCAGAACUAAGGAAGUAAAGACUCUGCAGGUCAGCAUUUCAGAGCGCAAAUUCUGCACCCACAGCCACUGCUUUUUCUUAACUGCUAGGCCUGAGUUUUUUGCUUUUGUUUGCUGUUUUUGUUGGCUUCCGGUAAAUAAUGCGCAGGCGCACGCUAGGAGGUGGAGUCUUCCGGGGACCCGGCGUCCCGUGGCGGAAAGAGGGCUCCGCGAGCGACUGAAGGCGUGGGUACAGAGAACAGUAAUUAUCAUACGAAGAGCAAGAAAGGCAAAGAAAAUCCUUUUCGUUUUCAAUUGGGCAAUUAAGCAGAAACUGCAAAUUAUAGUAUGAAGAAGGGAGGGGGAAGAACAAGCCGGAUCAGAAGACGAAAACGCUUUGGGAAAGCUGAAUCAAGAGGAGUGAAUGAGAGCUACAAGCCUGAAUUUAUAGAGCUGAAGAAGUGGCUGAAAGAUAGGAACUUUGAAGAUACAAACUUAAUACCUGCUCGUUUUCCAGGUACAGGAAGGGGGCUGAUGAGCAAAACAUCCCUACAGGUGGCAGCCUCCUCCAUCCCCGCUGCUGGCUCUGUGCACCUUUUUAGUUUCAGAAAAGCAUGCUGGGGAUCAGUCUCCCUGGAAGCCGUACCUGGAGGUUUUGCCGAAGACCUACACCUGCCCUGUUUGUUUGGAACCGGAAGUGGUGAAUCUCCUUCCCGGACCAUUGAAAUCAAAGGCCAGAGAGCAGAGAACCCGCGUGUGGGAGUUCUUUUCUUCCUCCAGAGACUUCUUUUCUUCUCUGCAGCCUCUGUUUCCCGAGGCUGUUGAGAGCAUCUUUAGCUAUAGCGCCCUGCUGUGGGCUUGGUGCACCGUAAACACCCGGGCUGUGUACAUGAAGCAACGGCCCAGGCAGUGCUUUUCCACUGAGCCCGACACCUGUGCACUCGCCCCCUACCUGGAUCUGCUGAACCACAGCCCCGCCGUCCAGGUGAAAGCCGCGUUCAAUGAGGAAAGCCGUUGUUACGAAAUUAGAACGGGUACAAGCUGUAGAAAACACGAAGAGGUAUUCAUCUGCUACGGCCCUCACGGUAGCCACCGUCUGCUCCUGGAGUACGGAUUUGUCUCCCCCCGUAAUCCACACGCUUGUGUUUAUGUCCCAAAAGAUAUACUUGUGAAAUAUCUUCCAUCGACAGAUAAACAGAUGAACAAAAAGAUUUCCAUUUUAAAGGAUCAUGACUUUAUAGAAAAUCUGACAUUUGGAUGGGAUGGACCGUCCUGGCGGCUACUCACAGCUCUGAAGUUGUUAUGUCUGGGAGCUGAAGAUUUGUAAGUUUCAUGAGUGUUGGUCACGAGUUGUAGUUACAAUUUGGGUGUAACCUUGGCAUUUUUUGGGCUUCCGUUCAAGUGCUCAGCCUCCGAGGGGAAAGGAAUGCCAUUGCAUAUUGGGGUUGCUUGUUCUCCGUGUAACUUGUCCAUGUGGUGAUUGUUCACUUUGAGGUUUUCAGCGUUUCUGGAAUUCUGGUUUUAGAGCCAUAAUCAGAGUACAUGGUCCUGAGAACUGGUCUCCGCUUGGACCUUUCCCCCUGGUGACCUGCAGCUCACUGUUCAGGGUAAACACUUCAGGAAGUGUGAGCAUGGCCGCUGCUCAGAGGCAGCUCUGAGCAGGUGGGUUUUUCCUGGGAGCAGAUGGGGCUCCUGACCACGGGUCCCACCUGGUUCUGCCCCAGGGACAGAUCUAGACCCUGGCGGAGGGUAGGCAUGGGUGGUUUCAUGGGAGGCAGGUAGAGGAGCCCCCCCGGGGCAGGCAGCAUCCGGGUCAGGCUCUGUAUUCCUGAAAGGCGGUUGGUCCUUACCUUAGUGUGACAGGACCGCUGUGCAUGUGGCCAGGCACCCCCAGCCCUGGGUCCUUGUCAGGGAGUAAUGCCUGUUACUCAGCGAAAGCUCAGGCGAGAGGAACCAUGGGGAGGACUUCCUAACGAUGGCGAAGCCCAUCUCUGGCUGUUGGGAGGAUUAGACAAGGAAGUGCCUGGAAGGGGCCCUUAGCACAGUGCCUGGGAUGCUGCUCACCUGGUCAUGCCAGCGUCUGGGACGCUGCUCAUGUGGUCAUGCCUGUACCUAGGAUGCUGUUCAUGUGGUCAUGCCUGUGACCUUACUGGCACCUGUUGGAAAAAAGUACUUCUUGGGGAAGUAAUUUCAGAUGCACAUGAAAAGACAAGUUUGGACAUAGCCCAGAAAAUAUGCCAUUAUUUCAUAGAGGAGACUAAUGCUAUGCUUCAGAAGAUCUCUCAUAUGAAAGAUGAAGACGUGGCUUUGAUAAACCAACUAACUUUGGUAGAAACACUGCGGACAGAAGAGCUGAAGAUUCUCCAGGCCUCGACUGAGAUCCUAGCUGGUUUGCAAACAGCUUUUAUGUAACUUCAGUGUGUGUGAUCACCUCCUGUGGUGGGUGUCCCUUCUUAAACAUUUUUAAACUAAGGUUUAUUUUAUAUAGAAUCAUUAACACUCAGUGAUUGGUUUCUAUUAAACAAUUAUCUGCUGA